rnacentral:rRNA from 1 species
AUACGUAGGUGGCAAGCGUUGUCCGGAUUUAUUGGGCGUAAAGCGAGCGCAGGCGGUUUCUUAAGUCUGAUGUGAAAGCCCCCGGCUCAACCGGGGAGGGUCAUUGGAAACUGGGAGACUUGAGUGCAGAAGAGGAGAGUGGAAUUCCAUGUGUAGCGGUGAAAUGCGUAGAUAUAUGGAGGAACACCAGUGGCGAAGGCGGCUCUCUGGUCUGUAACUGACGCUGAGGCUCGAAAGCGUGGGGAGCAAACAGGAUUAGAUACCCUGGUAGUCCACGCCGUAAACGAUGAGUGCUAAGUGUUGGAGGGUUUCCGCCCUUCAGUGCUGCAGCUAACGCAUUAAGCACUCCGCCUGGGGAGUACGACCGCAAGGUUGAAACUCAAAUGAAUUGACGGGG